UACGUAGGCAGCAAGCGUUGUUCGGAGUUACUGGGCGUAAAGGGUGCGUAGGUGGCUCUAUAAGUAUGGUGUGAAAUCUCCCGGCUUAACUGGGAGGGUGCGCCGUAGACUGUGGGGCUAGAGUGUGGGAGAGGAAAGUGGAAUUCCUGGUGUAGCGGUGAAAUGCGUAGAUAUGUGGAGGAAUACCGAUGGCGAAGGCAGCCCCCUGGGAUAACACUGACGCUCAUGCACGAAAGCGUGGGGAGCAAACGAGG
rnacentral:rRNA from 1 species